rnacentral:rRNA from 1 species
ACUCCUACGGGAGGCAGCAGUAAGGAAUAUUGCGCAAUGGACGAAAGUCUGACGCAGCGACGCCGCGUGGGGGAUGAAGGUCUUCGGAUUGUAAACCCCUUUCGGGAGGGAAGAUGGAGUGGGUAACCACUUGGACGGUACCUCCAGAAGCAGCCACGGCUAACUUCGUGCCGGCAGCCGCGGUAAUACGAAGGUGGCAAGCGUUGUUCGGAUUCACUGGGCGUACAGGGAGCGUAGGCGGUUGGGUAAGCCCUCCGUGAAAUCUCCGGGCCUAACCCGGAAAGUGCAGAGGGGACUGCUCAGCUAGAGGAUGGGAGAGGAGCGCGGAAUUCCCG